rnacentral:rRNA from 1 species
UAGAGUUUGAUCCUGGCUCAGAUUAAACCCUUGAGGCAUGCCUUACACAUGCAAGUCGAACGGCAGCACGCCGUUAACCCUGGUGGCGAGUGGCGAACGGGUGAGUAAAGCAUCGGAACGUGCCCUGGAGUGGGGGAUAACGUAGCGAAAGUUACGCUAAUACCGCAUAUUCUGUGAGCAGGAAAGCAGGGGAUCGCAAGACCUUGCGCUCUGGGAGCGGCCGAUGUCGGAUUAGCUAGUUGGUGGGGUAAAGGCCUACCAAGGCGACGAUCCGUAGCGGGUCUGAGAGGAUGAUCCGCCACACUGGGACUGAGACACGGCCCAGACUCCUACGGGAGGCAGCAGUGGGGAAUUUUGGACAAUGGGCGAAAGCCUGAUCCAGCCAUGCCGCGUGAGUGAAGAAGGCCUUCGGGUUGUAAAGCUCUUUCGGUGGGGAAGAAAUUGCAUGGGUUAAUACCCUGUGU